UACGUAGGGAGCAAGCGUUGUCCGGAAUCAUUGGGCGUAAAGCGCGUGUAGACGGUUACAUAAGUCUGUUGUGAAAGUCGGAGGCUCAACCUUCGAAAGCCGAUGGAUACUGUGUGACUUGAGUACGGAAGAGGAGAGUGGAAUUCCAGGUGUAGCGGUGAAAUGCGUAGAUAUCUGGAGGAAUACCGGUGGCGAAGGCGGCGUUCUGGACCAUUACUUGACACUGAAUCGCGAAAGCUAGGGGAGCAAACGGG
rnacentral:rRNA from 1 species